AAUAAUGUUUACCGUUUCAUUUUUUGGGUUGUUUAUAUAUCAUUUAUUGUUGUCUUUUGUAAUAGAAUUUUUUCUAAAUAUUGGAGCAGUAUGCCGAUUUAUUACAUCCAAGUCAUUAAUAUUUCUGUAUUGUUAUAUCACAUCACCUCUUGAUCUUCUGAUUUUUAAUGUGGGGAGAAAGAUUUAUCAGUGAGUUUUUACAUGAUAAAUCUUUUAAACUAUAAACACGAACUGCUAUAUGUUGGAGUUGUUCAAUCAUAAUAACAUGUUUCUGUAUAUGUAAACUCCUUAAUAGGGUUCAAUAUUUAAGGUGAUGUCUAAAUAAUGAUGUACUAUUAACGUUAAAUUUCUUUUAUCUAAUAAUUUCAAUAAGUGUUUGGUUUGUCCUAAUGUCAAACUUCCAAAGUCAUUUUUUCUCAAUAAUUUUAUUUUUAAAACGCUUUCAUUAAGUUAUAAAGAAUUGCCAAUAAUGAUGCUACUAACCUCAUUUUUGUUUUAGUAUGUCGCAUAUAUUUUUAUAUAUUACGUUUUAGUAUGUGUGCUCCAAACUUUCUGCAACUUAUAAUAAAACUACAUUCUUUAGGUUUAAUGCCUUUUCUUAUUUUGUUAUUUUAUAUGAAAAACUUUAAAUAAAAUAGUUUUAAUUAUUAGAUUUCAUAGUAUUGAUGUUUUGUUUUUAGAGUUUGUUUUUAAUUAAUGUGCCACCACAUAAAUGUAGCAAAUAUUAAUGAAGCUAUGGCAAUAAACUUAAUGUUGACACAAAAAUGCCAAAUCUCAAGUUAAAUGGUUUAUCUAAAUCUGAAUCUGCUGUGAAUAAAAUAAAUAUCAUGAAAUGUGAAAUCUCAAGACUUUUUUAAUGAAGUUUUGCUCCAAUAUAAUUGAAGUACCACAUUUUUUAAUAUAUAUAAUUUUAAAACGGAUGCUAGCACUAAAGAAGAAAAUAACGUUACAAAUUGAAGCAGAAAUUUAACGAAUCAUAUUGACGGUUAGAUAUGAAUUGCAGAAAAGCACCAUUGUCGAAUCGUUAUGAAUCAAAUCUUUGUAUUAUAGUUGCGUAAAUAUAGUUUAAAAUUUAA